rnacentral:rRNA from 1 species
AACGUAGGCAGCGAGCGUUGUUCGGAGUUACUGGGCGUAAAGGGUGUGUAGGCGGCUUAACAAGUCACUUGUGAAAUCUCCGGGCUUAACUCGGAACGGCCAAGUGAAACUGUCAAGCUAGAGUGCAGAAGGGGCAAUCGGAAUUCUUGGUGUAGCGGUGAAAUGCGUAGAUAUCAAGAGGAACACCUGAGGUGAAGACGGGUUGCUGGGCUGACACUGACGCUGAGGCGCGAAAGCCAGGGGAGCAAACGGG